CUGACUAGUCUCAUUAUUCCAGGUAAUUGAGCUCCGACUAAAAAUUCUUCAUUUUAUGUACUGCACUUACAGUUUUUGCCGAUUUCAGACAAUUCAGUGAUUCUAUCAGGCUGGAAAUUGCUUUUACAUUGCUGAAUGGUUUUAUAAUUUGAUCUAACUGGACCCUGGCUUCAACUUCUUCGUUUUAUGUGUUGGACUUACAGAUUCUUUUUUAAUUUCAGGCAGCUGAGUGAUUUCAUCAGGCUAUAGAUUCAUUUCAGACGGCUCAUAAUUUUAAGCAACUGCGUGUCUGACUGUAUAACUAAUCAGGAAAACUGAAAAAUGUUACGUAAAUUGGCAUGUGAAAAACAGUGAAGCAAAGGCAGAUUAAUGACCUAAAUGUAAAUAUUUAGAAAGAAAUGAACUUAAGACGAAACGACAAAUAUUAAAUUUUGGUGACUUUGUGACUUUCACAUGAUGUGAUUUGUUGUUUCAUUCCCCCUUAAACAGGUCCGGAAACAAUUUAAUUUUUCCAAUAUUUGUGAAAGAUGAUAUGGAAAAGUUUGCAAAUCAACUCUUGCCUUCAUUAACUAUUUAUAGCAAGUAGGCGGUCAUUUCUUUAACAGCUGCCCCACAUUGAUACGCAAAAACUAGUUUAUCCAGCUAAAGCCAGUUAAAACUAUGAAUAUGAUUUUGACCCCACAUGCAACAUUUCUUUGCGAUACAUACCUUUGAAAACCACUUUGAAGCCUUCUCUUGACUGAAUACUACGGUCUAACGUUCUUUGAAUAAAACGCGAAUUACAGUAUUUAGCAGGCAACAAACGUGCGGAAAUCCGUGCUUAUCAAACGUUUCACUUCAAGUCGAAUCUUACGCGAAGCACUUUAUUGAAAUCGCCUUUCUCUCUUACAACUUACGGGUCCAUUCACCAAGUUUUUCCCUUUUAUUACAAUCAAAUUAAAUAAAUUCAGUUUUGUCCUAAAUAAUGCACAAAACAAUCAUAAAAAUGCAAUGAACGCGAUCAGAAGCAGCAAGCACUUCAAACAAAACAACAAUAACAACGCAUCGCGCGAAAGCACAAACGUCAAACUAAAACCGAACGAGGCGGUAGCAGCAGGCCAUGAUUGAAAUUUUUCUCAGUCUAGUCACCCGUGCUAAAUGUUUUGUUUUGAAGCGCUAUCGAUGAUUAGCUACGACCUACGGGGCCGUCAAACGUAACGUGUCGAACAAAGACGGAAGAUCGAAAAACGAUAUUGCGGGAGCGGGAGGGUUGUUCUGGACCGUAGUUGCGACUCGAUACGAGAGCAGCAGGCGGGUGAAUGCGAUGACUAAGAAGGCCGAGGGGGUUUGAACAUUUUAGAACGUGCGUAACGCGAGGGGGUGUAAAUGACGAAGGCGCAAACGCAGAUUUUUAUUUUUUUUCGCCCCGGUGACGAUGAUGAUUAUGAUGAGCGGGUCUUUUUUUUAUGUGCAUUUAUUGAAAUGGACGGAUGGGUUGUCACCCCUUCCGUUGCGGAUUUUUGAGGAGCUCGCCCUAUGGAAUUAAGCCGAUUAUUAUUUAUUGAAAUGCAGAUGUCACGCAGUAUGGAGUUGGAUAUGCAACAAAAUACACACAGAAAUAUCCCGAUGGAUUUUUUCACAUUUUGUUGUGUAAAAAAAAAUGUUUAAUUUUAAUACACAAUUGUUAGAUAAUAUCUCACAGUCCUGUAU
rnacentral:lncRNA from 1 species